AUCCGGAACCAGAUGGAAGUGGAAGAGGAGCCUUUGAGAACCCACACGCAGGAGAAAUAGUAACACAGCAGUCAACUUGCCCUUGCAUCAAGGGCAGCUAAAACUGUGUUAGCAAAAAUAAGAAAGACUCUGCUGGGCCAAGUGCCAUGUCCUAGCUCCAUGCCUCCACUACUGAGCAACCCCCUGGCCGACAGCACUUCACUCCUGUCCGAGGGCUCAUGGCUGAGCACUGUAGCAUCGACAGGACAACGGCCCUGGGCUGCUGGCAGGUUGCAGGCAGCCACCCCUGUGCUGUUGCUGUGGUGAUCUACAACCGUGACAGCUUUGAGAGUGAUGGAUGGAGCAAAUGGAAAAUCAUGAGAAAUCAGAGGGUAGAGGCUGCAGCAGGGCAUCCGAGCCAUGUGCUUCAGCUGGCAAGAAAAAGGGAGUGAAGAGGACAUGCAGGAGCUUGACAGAAGCAGACUAAAAUGGAAGGGGAAAAUGAAACACAGAAGAAAGCUAGCAGAGAUGCUGGUUUUAGGGUUACACAGGGAGUAGGGAUUUGGUAGACAAUUUGUUCUACUACAGACAUCACAAACAACUUUAGGCAACUCAUCUCAUCAGUUUGAACAUCAGUUUCUCUCCUGUAAAAAGUUUCUAUGAGAGGAACUGUCACAAAAUAUCCUGGGGAUUAUAAAUAUGAAAUGGCAACCACCUUGUAAGUGAAAAAAAAUACUCUGAACAACAUCCAGAUAAAAAAGAAGGCUUUCAACAGUCUCAGAAAAGUCAGAGUUCAUGGAAGAAAGCAAACAGAAAGAGACAGGAGGGGAGUUGAAUAUGUUUCUGCUUGUCUCACGAGGAAUCUAUACACAGUGUAUACAAUUGCUAUACUUUUAGGAAGCUCUUUUGGCUCAUCUGUUGGCAUCAGCAUUGCAGGGCUGUACCCCUAGUUUGCAAAUGUGGUGUUAUCUCACAUCCCUCAGUACCAGAGAAGGAUAAGGGCUUUCUGCUGAAAUAGUAUUUUCAUUUCUCUGCUGUCAUUCUCUUCUCACUAAGUGUUUUCCAGUGAAUCAUUGUUUUGAACCCUGAGUUGUACUGGUGUGGCUGAAAGCAUAGACUUUAAUUUAGAUAAAGUGGAGACCUCUUGGA